GUGUGUGUGUGUAUAUAUAUAUAUAUUCACUGCCGCCCGUAAGGCACUCCAUAUCACUUCGCUGAACCAUCAAAAUGGGGAGUCACAAGCAAUUGGUGUUGGUGAUGCUGGUCGUCUUCAUAAUGGCCUUUGCUACCCAAACUUUAGCUGUGCCCUAUACGCCUUAUCCAGUGCCCUGCCUCGGUGGCACCUGCGGAUCCAAGUCCUCAAACGUAAAUGCAAACAAGGCCUCCGUUAACCCCAUCAUAUCGGUUGGCAAGGGUUGAGAGAAAUUUCGACUUAAUUGGAUGAUCACAGGAAUUCUUGCAUCGUUGUAUUGGUUUUAAUAAAGAAAAUGAUUGAUUUGA
rnacentral:lncRNA from 1 species